rnacentral:rRNA from 1 species
UACACAUGCAAGUCGAACGGCAGCAUGAUCUAGCUUGCUAGAUUGAUGGCGAGUGGCGAACGGGUGAGUAAUACAUCGGAACGUGCCCUGUAGUGGGGGAUAACUAGUCGAAAGAUUAGCUAAUACCGCAUACGACCUGAGGGUGAAAGUGGGGGACCGCAAGGCCUCAUGCUAUAGGAGCGGCCGAUGUCUGAUUAGCUAGUUGGUGAGGUAAAGGCUCACCAAGGCGACGAUCAGUAGCUGGUCUGAGAGGACGAUCAGCCACACUGGGACUGAGACACGGCCCAGACUCCUACGGGAGGCAGCAGUGGGGAAUUUUGGACAAUGGGGGCAACCCUGAUCCAGCAAUGCCGCGUGUGUGAAGAAGGCCUUCGGGUUGUAAAGCACUUUUGUCCGGAAAGAAAUCGCACUUACUAAUAUUAGGUGUGGAUGACGGUACCGGAAGAAUAAGGACCGGCUAACUACGUGCCAGCAGCCGCGGUAAUACGUAGGGUCCAAGCGUUAAUCGGAAUUACUGGGCGUAAAGCGUGCGCAGGCGGUUGUGCAAGACCGAUGUGAAAUCCCCGGGCUUAACCUGGGAAUUGCAUUGGUGACUGCACGGCUAGAGUGUGUCAGAGGGGGGUAGAAUUCCACGUGUAGCAGUGAAAUGCGUAGAGAUGUGGAGGAAUACCGAUGGCGAAGGCAGCCCCCUGGGAUAACACUGACGCUCAUGCACGAAAGCGUGGGGGAGCAAACAGGAUUAGAUACCCUGGUAGUCCACGCCCUAAACGAUGUCAACUAGUUGUUGGGGAUUCAU